rnacentral:rRNA from 1 species
UUGUUUCUUUAAAUGAGGACUUGUAUCAACGGCACCACGAGGGUUAUACUGUCUCCUUUCUCUAAUCAGUGAAACUGAUCUCUCCGUGAAGAAGCGGGGAUACUCCUAUAAGACGAAAAGACCCCAUGGAGCUUCAAACCCAACUACACCCUUAACUACCACAACCGCACAACCUCUUAGGGCCCUGUAUAGUUGGUUUUAGGUUGGGGCGACCACGGAGUACAACCAAACCUCCGCAAUGGACGGGACCACUCCCUUAUCU